rnacentral:lncRNA from 1 species
UCCUCUGUUUUUGUGGGAACUUGUGGGAUUCGGCUGCUCCCCAGUUGAGAUCCUCCGAAGAAGAGAAGACUCCUCCUUUUAUAGCUUCACCUGAAUGGGAGGAUAAGGUUCAUUGAGCUGAUCCGCCGUUGGGAAGAUAAGCUGGGAUUUUUGAUUGCAUGGAAGAGAUGCGGACGGCUGGUAAUAACUGGAUUCGGCUGGAGGUGGUUCCAAAACAGGGGAAUACGUGAAGCUCGGUAUGCACGUGGAGGAUGGGUAGCUGGAUGCGAUCGAGAGGAAGACUGACUUGAUUUGGAAGAGGAGAUUUGGAGAGUGUUUUUUUAGAAUCUAGAUGGAUUAAAUCCAAUCCAAACUGAUUAGGAGAUUGAAGCGUUGAAGAUCUGCUGGGGAUAAGUGGAAGAAGAAGAUGGAACGGGAUACUAAGAUUGAAGUUUAUCCCGUGGAUGUUGGAAGCUGC